AUGUCUUGCUGCGGAGGAAACUGCGGCUGCGGCAGCGCCUGCAAGUGCGGCAACGGCUGCGGCGGCUGCAACAUGUACCCGGAGGCCGAGGCCGCCGGCGCCACCCUCCUCGUCUCCGCCACCGCCACCCACAAGGCGAGCUCCGGCGGCAUGGAGAUGGCGGCGGAGAAUGGCGGCUGCGGCUGCACCCAGUGCAAGUGCGGCACCAGCUGCGGCUGCUCCUGCUGCAGUUGCUAG
rnacentral:rRNA from 1 species